CACUGGAUGAGCUUUGAGGUCCCUUCCAACACAAACCAUUCUGUAAUUUUAUAAUUCUGUUACUGUAGCCUGGGAGGUUCAGACUGGACAUUAGGAAGAACUGCUUCCCUGGGAGGAUACUGCAGCACUGGAAGAGGUUACCCAGAGGGGGACACCAAACAUUAGGCCAGGUUUGGAAGUCAGUGUAGUCCCAAACAUAUUCCUCAAGACUAUCAGCCUCACGAAGUCUGCUCAAGAAGCUGGAGAUGUUCCAUAUCUGUCAGAGGAAUCACAGAAACUGUUUGUAAGAAGAAUCUCCAACAAAGAGCAUCUUGGCCUUAUGGAUAUGACAUACUUCUGUUUCCUAAAACCCACUACGUGUAUGAACUGGUACUGUAAACACAAGUGCAAGUAAAAGAGUUCUACUGUUGCUGGAUUCCUCAUCCUCAGUUUAGUCAGUCAGCAAAAUUACUUUCUCAGUACUGAGUUACAGUAAAGAAUUGUUAACUGUGGUGUAACUGAGAGCAAAGACAAAGUCAAGUCAACGGGGUUUGCUUCAGCUUGUGACACUUCAAAUAAAGCCUCUACAUUUGUUUGGACCAUAAAACUCUACGAUGUUACCUAGUUACCAGGAAAUCACAGCCUGGUAACCACUCGGAGAAUUCUGGGGUUUAUUUACAACAAGGUAAGUGACCCUGAAUAAGUCAGGCUGGGGACACUUAGGCUGUCCAACUGUACAACAGGAUGAGACUCACACAACAUUUAUUUGAAGUAUUAAGAUUAAAACUGCGGUAUGAAAUUAAUUACGAUUAGUCUUGACAACACUAAUUCUAUUUAAAAUCUAUUGAACUGGUUUAAAAUUAAACUUCAGGUUCCCUUCAGCUGCAACCCAGCCCCGAAGCUGUCAAAGCCUGUGUUGUCCAUCCCAUGCUGGAUUUUCUCAUUUGGUUGGGAGAUUGCUAUUAAUAGACCAUAAGUAGAUACAAAAAAAGAGGAAAAAGUGAGAUUACCCAAUUACUCGAUUCUGCAAACAACCAUGUUUGCUUGCUUCAGUUUUGAGAAAGAUUGUCUGAAAUUUAGUUUCCUGAUGGGGCUUAAACCUCCCCUUUUGUGGCUCUGGACCAUCCAUCUCUCCUGCCUCCCCCAGUGCCGGCUAAGCAGGGUUGCUAAGCGACAUGUUCUUCUCUUCUGUACUUUAGCAGAGAGGAACAGAUCAAAGACACCCACAGUCCUGAAUUAUUUUAUAAAUGAAUUUAAAGAGACACUCUCCUGUGCUGUAUUAUGUGGGGGGAGAUCAAAAGUUGCUGGGUAUAGUGAGAGUAUCUGGAGAAUUAAACUGAUGUCUUCUGGAAAAUAAGAAUGCUCUCACAAAUGACAACUGUGUAGUAUUUCCCUUUUUUCUUGGUUUUUUUUUUUGCUUUUUCAGAACUAGAUUACAAUUUUUUUAUGCUAAUUAAUGUUUCCAGUUUCA